AUGGAGGCCCUGGAGACUGCGGUCUCCCUGUUAUUUAAGCACAGAACAAGGGCAGUGUCCAUUCAUGCUUUCCCCACACAACCCUACCACUGUGCCUCAACCCUAAUCUAGAGGCAUCUCCUCUAGGGAGGAGAGCACAGGUCACUCUCCAUGAAGGGUCUGCCUUCAGGGCGGGGCUAGG
rnacentral:sRNA from 1 species